GGGCGUAGUUCAAUGGUAGAACGUCAGCCUUCCAAGCUGGUCACGUGGGUUCGAUUCCCAUCGCCC
rnacentral:tRNA from 1 species